CCACCAUCUACCACUUCAGUAUCAAGCAAGGCUUCAACUUCACAGGCUUUCAGAGAUUUGCAAGCAAAUAAGAACCCAUUUAAGAAAAUUGGUUCAAGCUUCAGAAGAAUACCUCCAAGCAAUUCAAAUCCCAGACAGAACAAGUGCAAGCCUCAACUAGGCGACUGAAAGAAUCACAAACCAGAAGAUUCAAAGCGACAGCAUUGAGUGUAGCUGCUCUUUUUUUUUUUCUGUUUGCGUGUGUUCCAUUCAUUCUUUAACACCCUUUUUAUGUAGACUAGAGUUUAUGUCAAUACCCACCAAAUGUAAUUGCAGUUCGUAUCGCUUUUACAAUUUUUUGCUACCAUAGGCACAGACAAUUAAGUUUUACAGUAAUAUGUAAUCCCGUCAAUUUCUUAUAUGUAAAAGUAAAUGAUAAUUUCAUCUGUUAUUUGAAAAGGUCUAUGAUUCACACAUUCCAGUCUAAAACAAAA